rnacentral:rRNA from 1 species
UACGAAGGGGGCUAGCGUUGCUCGGAAUCACUGGGCGUAAAGGGUGCGUAGGCGGGUCUUUAAGUCAGAGGUGAAAUCCUGGAGCUCAACUCCAGAACUGCCUUUGAUACUGAGGAUCUUGAGUUCGGGAGAGGUGAGUGGAACUGCGAGUGUAGAGGUGAAAUUCGUAGAUAUUCGCAAGAACACCAGUGGCGAAGGCGGCCAACUGGCCCGAUACUGACGCUCAUGUGCGAAAGCGUGGGGAGCAA